AUUUUAUUAAUAUAUAUUAGUAUAAUUAAUUUCCAAUUAAAAAGAUUACUUUAAUAAAAU
rnacentral:tRNA from 1 species